UCAUAUGUACAUGCCUACAAUUUUAAUGCACCAGAUCCCAUAAAAAAUCCAUAGUUAAGCGCGCUUGGGAUAAAUUAGUACUGGGAUGGGUGACCUCUCAGGAAGUCCUAGUGUUUUACGUGCA
rfam:Picea glauca, whole genome shotgun sequence.